rnacentral:rRNA from 1 species
UACGGGGGGGGGCAAGCGUUGUUCGGAAUUACUGGGCGUAAAGGGCUCGUAGGUGGCCAACUAAGUCGAACGUGAAAUCCCCGGGCUCAACCCGGGAACUGCGUCCGAUACUGGGAGGCUUGAAUCCGGGAGAGGGAUGUGGAAUUCCAGGUGUAGCGGUGAAAUGCGUAGAUAUCUGGAGGAACACCGGUGGCGAAGGCGGCAUCCUGGACCGGUAUUGACGCUGAGGCGCGAAAGCUAGGGGAGCAAACGGG